rnacentral:tRNA from 1 species
UCCAGGGUAGCCUAGUGGUCAUGGCAUCUGCCCGGUAAGCGGAAGGUCGUGGGUUCGAUUCCCAUCCCUUGAU